rnacentral:rRNA from 1 species
GACAGAGGGGGCAAGCGUUGCUCGGAAUUACUGGGCGUAAAGAGCUCGUAGGCGGCUCAGUAAGUCAGGUGUGAAAACUCCAGGCUCAACCUGGAGACGCCACUUGAUACUGCUGUGGCUAGAGUCCGGUAGGGGAGCAUGGAAUUCCUGGUGUAGCGGUGAAAUGCGCAGAUAUCAGGAGGAACACCAGUGGCGAAGGCGGUGCUCUGGGCCGGAACUGACGCUGAGGAGCGAAAGCGUGGGGAGCAAACAGG